rnacentral:tRNA from 1 species
GGGACCGUAGCCCAGCUGGUUGGGGCACCGGGUCGAGGGUUAGUACACCACCCAUCGUCAACUCCGGGGGACGCAGGUUCGAAUCCUGCCGGUCCCAUCA